AAAUUGAAGAGUUUGAUCAUGGCUCAGAUUGAACGCUGGCGGCAGGCCUAACACAUGCAAGUCGAACGGUAACAGGAAGCAGCUUGCUGCUUCGCUGACGAGUGGCGGACGGGUGAGUAAUGUCUGGGAAACUGCCUGAUGGAGGGGGAUAACUACUGGAAACGGUAGCUAAUACCGCAUAACGUCGCAAGACCAAAGAGGGGGACCUUCGGGCCUCUUGCCAUCGGAUGUGCCCAGAUGGGAUUAGCUAGUAGGUGGGGUAACGGCUCACCUAGGCGACGAUCCCUAGCUGGUCUGAGAGGAUGACCAGCCACACUGGAACUGAGACACGGUCCAGACUCCUACGGGAGGCAGCAGUGGGGAAUAUUGCACAAUGGGCGCAAGCCUGAUGCAGCCAUGCCGCGUGUAUGAAGAAGGCCUUCGGGUUGUAAAGUACUUUCAGCGGGGAGGAAGGGAGUAAAGUUAAUACCUUUGCUCAUUGACGUUACCCGCAGAAGAAGCACCGGCUAACUCCGUGCCAGCAGCCGCGGUAAUACGGAGGGUGCAAGCGUUAAUCGGAAUUACUGGGCGUAAAGCGCACGCAGGCGGUUUGUUAAGUCAGAUGUGAAAUCCCCGGG
rnacentral:rRNA from 1 species